GUAAUUUUUUGGUAAAUGGAAGAGGAUUUUGAAUCCGCCGGUAGCAAUACUGUGCGAGUUCAAGUCUCGCCCGGGCCACCA
rnacentral:tRNA from 1 species